GCCUUGCUGUGCCCAGAAGACUUUGUGUCCUUACAGUCACCCAGUACCUCUGCUUCUUAUACUCUUUCCUUCUUCAAUGACCUCUAAACCUUUGGAGAGGCACGUGCUAGGUGGUUCUGUUCUCCCUCUUGAGCCUGUGCACACAACUGGAUUCUGGUGGAGGACCCUCUGGAUAUGGGCUCAGGAUCCAAGAAACAGCUUCCUAUGUGGAGAAGUCUCUGCAGCGGCCACCAGCAUGUGAACAAAAGUCUUGGGGGCUGAGAUAAGAUGACAUAUUUGAUUUACUAUCAAGUGGGGGGAAAUUGGAGAUAAGAGAAAGAUGAUAGUAAUCGUGCUUUAUG
rnacentral:lncRNA from 1 species